rnacentral:rRNA from 1 species
CCUACGGGAGGCAGCAGUGAGGAAUAUUGGUCAAUGGGCGGAAGCCUGAACCAGCCAAGCCGCGUGAAGGAUGACGGCCCUACGAGUUGUAAACUGCUUUUGUACCGGAGUAAAAUGACUUACGUGUGCCGUUUUGAAUGUACGGUACGAAUAAGGAUCGGCUAACUCCGUGCCAGCAGCCGCGGUAAUACGGAGGAUCCGAGCGUUAUCCGGAUUCAUUGGGUUUAAAGGGAGCGUAGGUGGGUUGUUAAGUUAGGUGUGAAAGACCGAGGCUCAACCUCAGAGUUGGAUGGAAUAAUGGCAGAAUUGAGUUCAGAUGAGGUAGGCGGAAUGCGUGGUGUAGCGGUGAAAUGGUUAGAUAUUACGAAGAACACCGAUUGCGAAGGCCGCUUGCUAAGCCGGAACUGACACUGAUGCGCGAAAGUGUGGGUAUCAAACAGGAUUAGAUACCCUAGUAGUC